rnacentral:rRNA from 1 species
UACGAAGGGGGCUAGCGUUGCUCGGAAUGACUGGGCGUAAAGCGUGCGCAGGCGGCGCGUUAAGACAGGUGUGAAAGCCCCGAGCUUAACUUGGGAAUUGCGCUUGUGACUGGCGAGCUGGAGUGUGGCAGAGGGAGGUGGAAUUCCACGUGUAGCAGUGAAAUGCGUAGAGAUGUGGAGGAACACCGAUGGCGAAGGCAGCCUCCUGGGCCAGCACUGACGCUCAUGCACGAAAGCGUGGGGAGCAAACAGG